rnacentral:lncRNA from 1 species
GAUGUGGUACAUAUUUGCAAUGGAAUAUUACUCAGCCCCAAAAAGAACAAAAUAAUUCCAUUUGCAGCAGCAUGGAUGCAACUAGAGAUUGUCAUACUCAGUGAAGAAACAAAGAAAAAGUCACACACCGUAUGAUAUCACUUGCACAUGGAAUCUAAAAUAUGGUACAAAUGAACCUAUCUACAAAACAGAAACAGACUCAUGACAAAGAACAGACUUGUGGUUGCCAAGGGGGAGGGGAAUGGAAUGCGCUGGGCUGGGAGUUUGGAUGUAGUAAAUGAAAACUAUUCCAUUGAGAAUGGAUAGACAGCAAGUUCCUACUGUAUAGCACAGGGAACGAAACCCAGUCUCUUGGGAUAAACCAUAAUGGAAAGGAAUAUAUUUUUUAAAAGAUGUAUAUAUUUGUAUAAAUAAGUCACUUUGCUGUACAGAAGAAAUUAACACAACAUUGUAAAUCAACUAUACUUUAAAAAAAAAAAAACUUUCUUUCUUGGAUUAAUUGGAUUGGACUAGCUCAUUGCAUCAGGAAAAGCAAGAUUUUUAAAGGCUCUGCAGCAAUUUAUUUGCCCAAUCCCAAACCAGGUAAUCCUCUUUAAGUUUCCAACAAGAAUGUUUAAGUACAAUGGGAAAGUCACCCCUCCAAGGAUCUUAGGUGUAAACUGUGUGACCCUGUAACAUUCUGUACUUCCUGAUGAGCAUCUAAUGAUCAUGCUAUAUUAUAGAUCCCUAAUUCCAUGCCUAGAAUAACACCAAUUUGUAAAUUAGGUGAGAUAUGGAUUAUAUAUAUCUUGUUCCAGACCCUAUCACAAUGCUGAAACAUGUUGGUUAGCAAUAGAUACUUGCUGAACAAAUGAAAUUCACCAUCAUCCAUUACAGAUUAUAUACACAUUAGCAAUACUAUGCUGAGAGACUGGAUAUCUCAUAUGUUGCUGGUGGGAGUGUAAAUGGACACAGCCACCCCAGGAAACGGGGUAUUGAUGAUGGGGAACACGUCCUCUGAAGGAGGUGAAGCAGCAGUGGGAACUUCAGAAAGAAAAAGUGAGGUGUAGUCUCAAUAUCUACCCCUGCGGAGCACGGUAAGAACACCUGCUACGUAAACUGGGAUGGUUUGAGGGAUAAAACAAACUCCCUUCAGGGGAAAGUCCAGGGAAUCUGCCCAGAUACUUCAAUUAAAUAAAGUCUUUAGUCUUUUCUCCCAAAUACCAGUCACAAGAGAAUUUUUAAUAGAGAAAGUACAGUGGAAAAAACACUGUUUCUUGAAACCCAGCUCUGAUACCUGUAUUGUGUCCUGUCACAUCACAGCCACACUCCUGCAAUAGCAUUUUCGCUGGCCUCCUUUCUGCCACUCUUUUCGGCUUCCAGUCAAAAAGGCAUCAAGUGCCAGGUAAACAUGUCUACAGCAUUAGUCAUCUCCAUGCUAUUCACAAAUUCUUCAAAUAUUUUCUUUUAUCAAAAAAGUCAGGGAGGGGAGUUCCCGUCGUGGCGCAUGGAAACGAAUCCAACUAGGAACCAUGAGGUUGAGGGUUUGAUCCCUGGCCUUUGCUCAGGGGUUAAGGAUCCGGCAUUGCCGUGAACUGUAGUGUAAGUCGCAGACGCGGCUCGGAUGUGGCAUUGCUGUGGCUGUGAUAUAGGCCAACAGCUGUAGCUCCGAUUAGACCCCUAGCCUGGGAACCUCCACAUGCUGCAGGUAUGGCCCUAAAAGGACAAAAGACAAAAAAAAAAGUCAGGAGUUCCCAUUGUGGCUUAGCAGUAAUGAACCCGACUAGUAUCCAUGAGGAUGCAGGUUCAAUCCCUGGCCCUGCUCAGUGGGUUAAGGAUCCAGUGUUGCCAUGAGCUCUGGAGUAGGUGACAGAUGUGGCCCAGAUCUGGUGUCGCUGUGGCUGUAGAGUAGGUCAGCAAUUGUAGCCCCAAUUCAACCCCUAGCAUGUGAGCUUCCAUUUGCUGCAGGUUUGGCUCUAAAAAGAAAAAAAAAAAAAACCCUCAUCAGGGGAAGAUCCCC